UUGAUCCUGCCGGAGGUUACUGCUAUCGGAGUUCGAUUAAGCCAUGCGAGUCUAAAGGUUUCUUCGGAAACCUUGGCGGACUGCUCAGUAACACGUGGAUAACCUACCCUUGGGACUGGAAUAACCCCGGGAAACUGGGGAUAAUACCGGAUAGAUCAGGGAUGCUGGAAUGCGCCUUGAUCCAAAGCUCCGGCGCCCAAGGAUGGGUCUGCGGCCUAUCAGGUUGUAGUGGGUGUAACGUACCUACUAGCCGACGACGGAUACGGGUUGUGAGAGCAAGAGCCCGGAGAUGGAUUCUGAGACACGAAUCCAGGCCCUACGGGGUGCAGCAGGCGCGAAACCUUUACAAUGUGCGAAAGCAUGAUAAGGGAACUCCGAGUGCCAGUAUCUAAUACUGGCUGUCCUUGUGCCUAAAACGCACAAGAUAGCAAGGGCCGGGUAAGACCGGUGCCAGCCGCCGCGGUAACACCGGCGGCCCGAGUGGUAGCCGCUAUUAUUGGGUCUAAAGGGUCCGUAGCCGGUUCGAUAAGUCCUCUGGGAAAUCUGGUUGCUUAACAAUCAGACUGCCAAGGGAUACUGUCGAACUUGAGACCGGGAGAGGUAAGAGGUACUUCAGGGGUAGGAGUGAAAUCUUGUAAUCCCUGGGGGACCAUCUGUGGCGAAGGCGUCUUACCAGAACGGGUCUGACGGUGAGGGACGAAAGCUGGGGGCGCAAACCGGAUUAGACACCCGGGUAGUCCCAGCCGUAAACGAUGCUCGCUAUGUGUCAGGUACGGUGUGACCGUAUCUGGUGCCGUAGGGAAGCCGUGAAGCGAGCCACCUGGGAAGUACGGUCGCAAGACUGAAACUUAAAGGAAUUGGCGG
rnacentral:rRNA from 1 species